UUGGGGGUAGAGGUGGGCAGGA
rnacentral:miRNA from 1 species